rnacentral:rRNA from 1 species
GAUGAACGCUGGCGGCGUGCUUAACACAUGCAAGUCGAGCGAAGCGCUUUGGCGGAUUUCUUCGGAUUGAAGCCUUGGUGACUGAGCGGCGGACGGGUGAGUAACGCGUGGGUAACCUGCCUCAUACAGGGGGAUAACAGUUGGAAACGACUGCUAAUACCGCAUAAGCGCACAGUACCGCAUGGUACGGUGUGAAAAACUCCGGUGGUAUGAGAUGGACCCGCGUCUGAUUAGGUAGUUGGUGGGGUAACGGCCUACCAAGCCGACGAUCAGUAGCCGACCUGAGAGGGUGACCGGCCACAUUGGGACUGAGACACGGCCCAAACUCCUACGGGAGGCAGCAGUGGGGAAUAUUGCACAAUGGGGGAAACCCUGAUGCAGCGACGCCGCGUGAGCGAUGAAGUAUUUCGGUAUGUAAAGCUCUAUCAGCAGGGAAGAAAAUGACGGUACCUGACUAAGAAGCCCCGGCUAACUACGUGCCAGCAGCCGCGGUAAUACGUAGGGGGCAAGCGUUAUCCGGAUUUACUGGGUGUAAAGGGAGCGUAGACGGCAUGGCAAGCCAGAUGUGAAAGCCCGGGGCUCAACCCCGGGACUGCAUUUGGAACUGUCAGGCUAGAGUGUCGGAGAGGAAAGCGGAAUUCCUAGUGUAGCGGUGAAAUGCGUAGAUAUUAGGAGGAACACCAGUGGCGAAGGCGGCUUUCUGGACGAUGACUGACGUUGAGGCUCGAAAGCGUGGGGAGCANACAGG